UGUUUUAUUUUGAAAAUCGUUCACAGUGUUGUCUCGGUGUUGUAACGGCAGCAUGAAGUAACGUUACUACAGUAAUAUAAAGUAACUCCCUAUGACGGUUGGGCACCUUCAGGAAGAUGACGUGAUUAAGUUAAAUUCUAUCUUACUGGUCAUUUCUGCAAAAGAGCUGAUUAUUUCUCAGCAGUUUGGUGGCUUGAAACAUUAGUUUUUAUUCUCCUGCUGCUCAAAGCAACACUUGGUGAUGACCAAACAUUUGUUAGAAUAACGGAGCCAAAUCUGAAAGAAUCUCUGAUUGCACGUAAGAAAUUGACAUUGUGGAAUUAAGAUUUGCACAAGGAGUUUGAAGUGCUAAAUGUAACCGAAUGUAACUGUUUAAACUGAUAUACUGGAAUAUUAUUAUAAAAUGAUGGAAAGUUUUAAGCUCUGUGUGUUUUGUGUUGCCCUUUCUAACCACACCCGUAACUUUGGAUGCAUUGCUUAAAGUAUAGUUGGUACAAACACAUAAAGAAUCAUUUUAAUUCACAUUAAGUGUUUGUUUGAGCCCUACUGUAAAAGCUAAUCCACAUUCAGUGAAUAUUAAGUGAGUGGUGAAACGUUAUCAUUAGAUAAGCAAUGAUUUUCCUGUUUACACAAACGUUUGUUUCCUAGCAUUUGUAAAGUUUGCUGUCCCAGCUGUAACAGAAGGUGUGAAAGUUGUCCACAGUUCAGGGAGGAGUUGGAUGAAGAUGUUUUUCCGGAUGUAGUAACGGAUCCCUCCACUGGGGUGUUAACCAUCAGAUAUGACUCAGACUCUGUCUCCACGGUAACCUCUCCUGAGCAAUCCCAACCAUCAUCCCUCAAUUCCUUGGACUCUGAGGACACAGACAUCAUUUCUGAUAGUCCCUCCAGAAAACGCCACAGAAGCUGAGCAAUCGGUGGAGUCCGUUCUUACCAACAAACCUGGUGGGGAACGUGUAAUAAAUGAAUACAACCGAACCAAAUCCUCGGUGGAUGAAACCAGACGAACAACGGUGAACAUACUGGCAGCUGACGUGACAGAAAAGAACGGGUGGUUUGUUAACAGUCCUUGUGUUCUGAAUCGAGCUUAGAGAUGAAUUUGAAAUGAAAUCCAGUGAAUAGAACUGCAGACUCCUCUCUCCUUGCAGUACAUCCCCACCCAGACAAGUGAAAGAAAUGUACGCCAGAGGAAUAGUGACCUUAUUCCCCAACCUCAGUGACCCAUUCUCUAAGACACAGUAACGGCUGUAGUCAUGUUAAAUGCUGUGUUGAAAAAUGUUGACUCUUAUCGGUUGUUGUCACUUUUAAAUGUUGUUAAUGAAUGUCUGUGUUUUGUUAUCCUUUCGUCCUCCGAGGAGCACUAUUAUGAUGGUGAGAGUGGAACUGGGUACUUGGCCUGGAGGAUGAAAACUCUUCAGAGAGGCACCGCUAAAGACAAGCGCUGGUCGUUUGGAGGUAAUACUGGAAAAAUGUGUGGAACAAAACAGUCGCAAGAUGAGUUAUUGAUUUGUUGCACAUCAUGUUUCUCAGUAAAAUAAUACAAUAUUUUCUAACUACACCCUUCAGCUCCUCUGACUUUGUCUGCAGGCUGGCAUGGCACAUUUUAGGGUGAUUCACAACAGUUGACACUUCAAUGCACAAAAUAACAGUAAUAAUCAUCCACAGUGAAGAAAAAACACUGAUAUGUUUCAUCACAGUACAGUCAAAUCAGCCAAAGGAUCAUGUGGUGAAGACGUGUCUGGAGGACCGACUGUCAGACGAGAGUUCGUUCCCGAGACAGCGCUGACUGAAGAUGAGUGCAACGAAGCAAUCUCACUGAUGAGACGUUCAGCUGACGAGGACGCCGUCAAGAAGAAAACGAAACUGACGUUUGUGUAUCGCCGCAACACGGCCCUUGACCCCCAGCAGUCGAGCAACAUACUGUCUGACUUUCCACGUUUUAAAGACGUCAAAGGCUCGGUAAUUAUCAAUCAUUAUUGUGACAAUAUUCUGACAGUUGAAUAGUUUUUGUAAGACGGCAGACAGGCGGUGUAGUAAUACUCCAUUAACUAUCAGCCGGUAACUUUGGUUGCCUGUCAGAUCAUUGAAAUUGUCACCCAGCACCCCCCCACCCCAGGUUGAACAGGAUCUCAGGGUGAUGUUUGGAGAGGUGGCCGCUCAUGUUCAAGAAAAAGAUCAUCCAACAAUGCAGAAAGCUUCUAUCCACAAGUGAGCUUGAAGAAGGGUUGCUGGCAGCUGAUCCUCCUGAGGAUGGCACUGAAGCUGAUGUUGACUUUGACUGGAACAAACAUUCAAGAGCAUCUCGAUGCCAUCACCUCCAGAGCUCAACCCGAUCUCCUGGCUGUUAGUUAAGAAGAAUGCAAUCCACCAGUUCUUCAUCACUCUUGACAAGAACGCCGUACCUCGCAGAUCAACCUCUUCUCUUGGUGCCUUUGAUGAACUGUUUAAGGCUCAUUUUGUGUUUGGCACAUCCUACAACAGCAUGCUUCACCAACAUGUCACCACUUGA